UAUGUGUGUGUGUGUGAGAGAGAGUGUGUGAGGGUGUGUGUGUGUGUGUGUGUGUGUGUGUGUGUGUGUGUGUGUGUGAGAGAGAGAGAGUGUGUGUGUGUGUCCAGACAGGUGUUGGAGGUUCUGUUAGACUCAUCAUCGCCGUGGUAAUGUCCUCCCGGUCGUCACGCCAACUCAUCCUCGUGAGGAGGUUCCCACGAUGAGCGGGGUCGAAGUCACUUCCUCCCUGGACGACCUCUGACCUUCCCGGGUCACGACACACUGCCUGACCCGUCGUGGACACAGACCCCACUUCACCCUGUCGACGUCCCGCCAGGCUGCUACAGAGCCUGGAGAACCUGGAGAACCUGGAGAACCUGUAGAACCUGGAGAGAACCUGGAGAACC